rnacentral:lncRNA from 1 species
AAAGUAUAUGGAGAGAUGGGAUCUUGGCUAUGAUUGAGGAGCUUGGCAGAUGAGUGAUGAUGAGGAGUGCUGAUACAGGAGCUUAGAUGAUUCUAUCCAGGUGAACUGGAACCACCGGAUACUGUGGAGGGUCUCGUCGUUGAUCUCUGUUGUCACAUGCAACUAUAUAGAACAUGUUUGCUGGUGUCUGCGCAUACCUGCAGUUUGAAAUAUUCUGUGGACUUGGAGUUGUGAGGUUACAGUGGAUUAAAGGCACCUGGCUUCCACUGUGGUGACAAUUUUUGCGAGUUUUGUUACUAGGACAGCAAAAGUUGUAAGAAGGAAAGUAUUUUGGUUUUUGCAUCGCCGUUGAUAAUUGUUAAUGACCUGCAUUGCAUUGGUGCAUUGCUGGGAGGUCAUAUUGAU